rnacentral:sRNA from 1 species
ACUACUAAAAGCCAAACAGUGACAAAAGAAGCAAAACCUAAAAUCAAGUCUCAGUUUAGAACUAUGACUGCACAAUCAACUCACAUCAGUGAACAAGACCCACUUCAACUAGCAAAAAGAAGCAAGACUACUAAAAGCCAAACAGUGGCAAAAGAAGCAAAACCUAAAAUCAAGUCUCAGCUUAGAACUAUGACUGCACAAUCAACUCACACCAGUGAACAAGAUCCACUUCCACUAGCGAAAAGAAGGUAAAC